AGUCUAACAAGAGAAGAAAAAAGAUCUUGCAAUAGCCACAGUAAGAAAAAUCCUAGGCCUUUGUCUUUGCCUCUUGUCCAAGACAAUUUGGCAUUCUUGAACCAGAUGAGAGCCUAAAGCAAGUAAGAACUCGUGCAAGAUAUCAAUGGUCAUCUUUCUUGCAGAAGAAGAUGGUGAAACUUGGAACCCUCUUCCUUGUCCUCUUGUUUUCGUUCACCUCCAGAGCAGAAAUUCUAUUCCAACUGAUGCAGGGCCAACAGCUGAGGGACUGGGAACACCUUCUUGCUCCACAGGGUACGUUCAAACUAGGCUUCUUCAGCCCAGGCUCUUCAAGUUACCGUUACUUGGGAAUAUGGUACAGCAAACUACCGCAUAAUCCCGACGCCGUCUGGGUGGCAAAUCCGAACAACCCUAUUUUCAAUUCGUCUGGUGUCCUGAACUUGGACAGUGAUGGACGUUUGAAGAUAACUGCAAAUGGUGGCCAGACGAUUGUGGUGAGUUCCAAUGAUCCGGCGACAACUAACGUGACGCUCAGUUUGCUCGAUACCGGGAAUUUGCUAUUGAGGGAGGUGAAUUCUGAUGGAACAGUGGGAAGGGUUUUGUGGCAGAGUUUUGAUCAUCCAGCGAGCACUCUACUUCCAGGAAUGAAGCUGGGUUUAGACAUAAAAGCCGGGACUAACUGGACGCUUACCUCAUGGCUAAGCGACCGGGACCCAGCUCCAGGAGCUUUCCGUCUAGGCGUGGAUCCUGGAAGUGCCAACCAGCUAGUGAUUUGGCAUCACGAGGAGAUAUAUUGGACAAGUGGAAUAUGGGAAGAUGGAGGAUUUCAGAUGGCACCCGAGCUGACCCAAGACAAGACUGCAUAUGAGUUCAGUUUUGUGUCAGAUGAAAACGAGAAGUACUUCACUUUCUCUUUGAAGAAGAGCUCCACCAUCACAAGGUGGGAAAUUAAUCUAUGGGGGCAAAUAGUACAGUCUACUCUGGCCAAUGAUGGAGUUACUUGGCUCUACUCGAGUACCAGUUCAUGCAACUCGAACCGGAAUUACUCAGGUGCUGUGUGUGUGGAUCAAAAGCCGUCAGCUUGUAGGAAUGGCUCGGAGCUGUUUGUGCCACAGAGAGGCUACUAUAAUAAAGGGGAAUUGCUCUUUUCUGAUAAUAAUUCGAGCUUGACCCUGAGUGAUUGCCAUUCCAUGUGCUGGAACAAUUGCUCUUGCAUAGCUUUUGGGAGUCUUUUUACCGAUGGAACAGGAUGUGAGUUUUGGAACAGGGGAGGAACAUAUGUUCCAAAUGAUAACUUUGAUGUUCUCUAUGUGCUUACCUCGGCUGUCAAUAAUGCUGAAGGAGGUUCAACGAGCAAAAGGAAAAACAGGUGGUGGGUAUGGUUGGUCACAGCCACUGUCCUAGCUGCGGCUAUGCUAAUAUUGAGUUAUCUUCUAUACUUAAAAAGGAGAAAGCUGAUGCUUCUGCAAAACAACGAAGAAUUGGAAACAAAGCGGGACCAUGCAUUGCUAAACCAGCAAAAGAUGCCCUCUAACAAAUUCGGCAACUCAAAUAGGCUGAAACGGAGUAAAACGAGUCGCAGUGACUUUCAUCAGUAUAGCUUUUCUGAAGUAGAUGCUGCGACAGAUUGCUUUGCACCUGCUAACAAGCUGGGAGAGGGAGGUUUUGGACCAGUUCAUAAGGGUACCCUGCUGGAUGGACAACAAAUUGCAGUGAAAAGGCUCUCAAGAAAUUCAGGACAAGGGCUUGAGGAGUUCAUGAAUGAAAUUACAUUGAUUGCUGAACUUCAACACACAAACCUGGUUAAGCUACUCGGUUGCUGCAUCCAAGGGGAAGAGAAGAUGCUGAUCUAUGAAUACAUGCCAAACAAAAGCUUGGACUCAUUUCUUUUCGAUCCAGUGAAAAGGAAAUUGCUGGACUGGAAUAAACGCCUGAGUAUAAUCGAAGGUGUCGCACAAGGGCUUCUUUAUCUCCAUAAGUAUUCAAGACUUAAAGUGAUACACAGAGAUUUAAAAGCCAGCAACAUUUUACUCGACGAUGAUAUGAACCCCAAGAUAUCAGAUUUCGGGAUGGCUAGGAUUUUUGGGCAGAAUGAAUCCAGAGCUAACACCAACAGGGUAGUCGGAACAUAUGGUUACAUGUCUCCUGAGUAUGCCAUGAAAGGAAUAUUCUCAGUGAAGUCUGAUGUCUUCAGUUUUGGAGUUCUACUUCUGGAGAUUGUUACUGGCAGGAAAAAUACUGUUUUCACAUCAUCCACUCCUGUUGGCCUCCUAGAACAGACAUGGGACCUAUGGAGUCGAGGUGCCAUUUUGGAGCUGAUGGACCCAUCUCUCGGUUCCUCAUGCCCGAAGAAUGAACUGAUCAGAAUCAUCCAUGUUGGUCUUCUCUGUGUUCAAGAGGGUGCCACGGAUAGACCGACCAUGUCCGACGUUAUUUCGAUGAUCACAAAUGACAGCGUUUCCCUACCAGAUCCAAAACAAGCGGCAUACUGCAUAGGGAAAAGUGAAUCUGGAGAAUCAUCCAGUGGGAAGUCGAAUCUUUAUUCCAUCAAUGAUGUAUCUAUAUCAAUAAUGCAAGCGAGAUAGAAAGUCCUUCAUACUUCAGAUUAGUAUUCCAACAGUUUUUUUUUUUUUUUUACGGAUAUUUUCAUUGUAUUAGAGUAGGCAGGAUAGAGCACACCUACUUGUAAGUUGUAAACGGACAGACUGAGCAGUUGCUUGCAAAGAAUGUAGGAAGGUUGAGCAACGUUUGGUCACUGUGAGGAGUCUUCUGCUUACUGCUUCUCAGGCGAAGCCCUCUCUUCAUUCUCAGGAUUCUUCUUUACGAUCACCGCUAUUCGAGGGUGGAGACUAGCUCGACGUGAGGAACAGAGCAUCUGCAGGGGCCAAAACAACACAAAUCCCGAUAUGAAAGCCGAAAGGUGACGAAGGAGAGGGAACUGCAGACGCAGAGAGGCACGUCGACGCCAUCACCUCACUCCACGGGAGAGCGUCUUCUCCUUCUCCUUCUCCUUCUCCUUCUCCUCCCACUCCCUCGCCGAGCACACCACACGCCUUCAGCACUGCCUAUCUCAAAUCCACUGAAUCGGUCUUUCGGUACUCAGGACUGAAACUGCGGAUCGUCAUUUGAUGCCAUGGUCGAAGCCCAGUAAUUUUUGGGCCGUGACCAAUUCAGAUGGUUCAGUUCAUGGAAAGGGGGUCAAGCUACAUGA